UACGUAGGGUGCGAGCGUUAAUCGGAAUUACUGGGCGUAAAGCGUGCGCAGGCGGUUUUGUAAGCCCGAUGUGAAAUCCCCGGGCUUAACCUGGGAAUGGCAUUUGGGACUGCAAGGCUUGAGUUUGGCAGAGGAGACUGGAAUUUACGGUGUAGCGGUGAAAUGCGUAGAUAUCGUAAGGAAGACCAGUGGCGAAGGCGGGUCUCUGGACAGUUCCUGACGCUGAGGCACGAAGGUCAGGGGAGCAAACGGG
rnacentral:rRNA from 1 species